UACGGAGGGUGCAAGCGUUGUCCGGAUUUAUUGGGCGUAAAGAGCGCGUAGGUGGCUAGGUAGGUGCGCUGUGAAAACUCGAGGCUUAACCUCGAGAGGUCGGUGGAAACCAUCUGGCUAGAGUCCGGAAGAGGAGAGUGGAAUUCCUGGUGUAGCGGUGAAAUGCGCAGAUAUCAGGAAGAACACCCGUGGCGAAGGCGGCUCUCUGGGACGGUACUGACGCUGAGACGCGAAAGCGUGGGGAGCGAACAGG
rnacentral:rRNA from 1 species